AUGGAUGCAAGCUUCUCGUGAUGGACCAACAAACAAAGUUCGGGCAAGGAUGUCAAUUGCUUCAGCUUUGAUAUUUGGUUCUGUAUUCUGGAGGAUGGGCAGAUCACAAACGUCAAUACAAGACAGGAUGGGAUUACUUCAGGUUGCUGCAAUAAACACUGCUAUGGCUGCUCUCACAAAAACAGUUGGUGUCUUUCCCAAGGAACGAGCAAUUGUUGAUAGAGAGCGUGCAAAAGGGUCUUAUGCUCUGGGACCAUAUUUGCUUUCCAAGUUGAUUGCUGAGAUUCCUGUUGGGGCAGCAUUUCCUCUACUCUUUGGUGGCAUCCUAUACCCAAUGGCUCGACUUCAUCCUACCAUUUCUAGAUUUGGGAAGUUCUGCGCAAUCGUGACGGUGGAGUCUUUUGCUGCAUCUGCUAUGGGCUUGACUGUGGGAGCUAUGGUUCCAACGACUGAAGCUGCAUUAGCGUUAGG
rnacentral:misc_RNA from 1 species